rnacentral:rRNA from 1 species
GUGGAUUAGAUACCCUGGUAGUCCUGGCAGUAAACGGUGCACACUUGGUGUGGGGGGAUUCGACCCCUCCUGUGCCGGAGCUAACGCGUUAAGUGUGCCGCCUGGGAAGUACGGUCGCAAGAUUAAAACUCAAAGAAAUUGACGGGGACCCGCACAAGCGGUGGAGUAUGUGGCUUAAUUCGAUGCAACGCGAAGAACCUUACCUGGUCUUGACAUGCAUCUUGUCUCCAGUGAAAGCUGGAUAGGGUAGCAAUACCCGAUUUGCACAGGUGCUGCACGGUUGUCGACAGCU